CGGUGGAUGAUGUGGAUUAAUUCGAUGCAACGCGAAAACCUUACCUACCUUGACAUGUCCGGAAUCCCGAAGAGAUUUGGGAGUGCUCGCAAGAGAACCGGAACACAGGUGCUGCAUGGCUGUCGUCAGCUCGUGUCGUGAGAUGUUGGGUUAAGUCCCGCAACGAGCGCAACCCUUGUCAUUAGUUGCCAUCAUUUGGUUGGGCACUCUAAUGAGACUGCCGGUGACAAACCGGAGGAAGGUGGGGAUGACGUCAAGUCCUCAUGGCCCUUAUAGGUGGGGCUACACACGUCAUACAAUGGCUGGUACAAAGGGUUGCCAACCCGCGAGGGGGAGCCAAUCCCAUAAAGCCAGUCGUAGUCCGGAUCGCAGUCUGCAACUCGACUGCGUGAAGUCGGAAUCGCUAGUAAUCGUGGAUCAGCAUGUCACGGUGAAUACGUUCCCGGGUCUU
rnacentral:rRNA from 1 species